rnacentral:rRNA from 1 species
GAUGAACGCUGGCGGCGUGCCUAAUACAUGCAAGUCGAACGAACAGGUAAGGAGCUUGCUCCUUUGACGUUAGCGGCGGACGGGUGAGUAACACGUGGAUAACCUACCUAUAAGACUGGGAUAACUUCGGGAAACCGGAGCUAAUACCGGAUAACAUAUUGAACCGCAUGGUUCAAUAGUGAAAGGCGGCUUUGCUGUCACUUAUAGAUGGAUCCGCGCCGUAUUAGCUAGUUGGUAAGGUAACGGCUUACCAAGGCAACGAUACGUAGCCGACCUGAGAGGGUGAUCGGCCACACUGGAACUGAGGCACGGUCCAGACUCCUACGGGAGGCAGCAGUAGGGAAUCUUCCGCAAUGGGCGAAAGCCUGACGGAGCAACGCCGCGUGAGUGAUGAAGGUCUUCGGAUCGUAAAACUCUGUUAUCAGGGAAGAACAAAUGUGUAAGUAACUGUGCACAUCUUGACGGUACCUGAUCAGAAAGCCACGGCUAACUACGUG